rnacentral:rRNA from 1 species
CUUGCUUCUCUUGAGAGCGGCGGACGGGUGAGUAAUGCCUAGGAAUCUGCCUGGUAGUGGGGGAUAACGUCCGGAAACGGACGCUAAUACCGCAUACGUCCUACGGGAGAAAGCAGGGGACCUUCGGGCCUUGCGCUAUCAGAUGAGCCUAGGUCGGAUUAGCUAGUUGGUGGGGUAAUGGCUCACCAAGGCGACGAUCCGUAACUGGUCUGAGAGGAUGAUCAGUCACACUGGAACUGAGACACGGUCCAGACUCCUACGGGAGGCAGCAGUGGGGAAUAUUGGACAAUGGGCGAAAGCCUGAUCCAGCCAUGCCGCGUGUGUGAAGAAGGUCUUCGGAUUGUAAAGCACUUUAAGUUGGGAGGAAGGGCAGUAAAUUAAUACUUUGCUGUUUUGACGUUACCGACAGAAUAAGCACCGGCUAACUCUGUGCCAGCAGCCGCGGUAAUACAGAGGGUGCAAGCGUUAAUCGGAAUUACUGGGCGUAAAGCGCGCGUAGGUGGUUCGUUAAGUUGGAUGUGAAAUCCCCGGGCUCAACCUGGGAACUGCAUUCAAAACUGACGAGCUAGAGUAUGGUAGAGGGGUGGUGGGAAUUU